UACAGAGGGUGCGAGCGUUUGUCCGGAAUCACUGGGCGUAAAGGGCGCGUAGGUGGCGCUCCAAGUCCGUGGUGAAAGCUCGAUGCUCAACAUCGAGUCGGCCACGGAGACUGGAGGGCUCGAGCACUGUAGGGGCAGAUGGAAUUCCGGGUGUAGCGGUGGAAUGCGUAGAGAUCCGGAAGAACACCGGUGGCGAAGGCGGUCUGCUGG
rnacentral:rRNA from 1 species